AGUAAAAUGACCGACCUAAGGUGGUGGAUUGUAGCUCCAUUUAUGGGAUAAACAUCUCUUUUACUA
rnacentral:tRNA from 1 species